UACGGAGGGUGCAAGCGUUAAUCGGAAUUACUGGGCGUAAAGCGCACGCAGGCGGUCUGUCAAGUCGGAUGUGAAAUCCCCGGGCUCAACCUGGGAACUGCAUUCGAAACUGGCAGGCUAGAGUCUUGUAGAGGGGGGUAGAAUUCCAGGUGUAGCGGUGAAAUGCGUAGAGAUCUGGAGGAAUACCGGUGGCGAAGGCGGCCCCCUGGACAAAGACUGACGCUCAGGUGCGAAAGCGUGGGGAGCAAACAGGAUUAGAUACCCUGGUAGUCCACGUCGUAAACGAUGUCGAUUUGGAGGUUGUGCCCUUGAGGCGUGGCUUCCGGAGCUAACGCGUUUAAUCGACCGCCUGGGGAGUACGGCCGCAAGGUUAAA
rnacentral:rRNA from 1 species